CGGUUCCCGGCCUUGUACACACCGCCCGUCACACCACGAAAGUCGGCAACACCCGAAGCCAGUGGCCCAACCUUAGGAGGGAGCUGUCGAAGGUGGGGUUGGCGAUUGGGGUG
rnacentral:rRNA from 1 species